AUUUAAAUAGCUUAUAAAGAGUAUAAUAUUGAAAAUAUUAAGGAAAAAAUUUUUUUUAAAUG
rnacentral:tRNA from 1 species